ensembl:lncRNA
CGCAGCCGCCCGGCCCUCUCCUGGCGCGGUGCCCUCCGCCUCACGGCUCGGCCCAGCCGUGCUUUGUCUCUCAUCGCCGCGGCUGAGGUGAAGUUGAUGCAGACUGUGCGUUCGGGAGGAACAAAAGCUUCUCCUUUCGUUAAUAACCGCUCCAUGAGAGAACUUCCAUCUUCCGCGCGCUGUGGAGCAGCAAGGUGGGUGAUGGCUCUGGGAUCCCAUGGCACAGUGCUGAGAAAUGCCUUCAGUCUUUGGCGGCAUCGUUCGCAGCCGCUGUGUGCAGGAGAGCGGCUGAGCUGUGGUAACAGAUGGACCUUUGCAGGUGUGGGAGCUCAGACAGGCGCUGUUUGAUUUCACCCUGGUUUAAAUACACAUGGCUUGCAGGACUCCUUCUCAUCCUGCCCUGCCUCUCUCCGUGCUGUCUCUCUGCUCGUGCUGCCUUUUUGCUGUGUGGUUUAUUUUUGCCAUGACUGCACUACAUACCCGAGUAACACAUGAGCACUGACGGUGCUGCAGAGUUCAGUGCCGGCACCGGAGCAUUGUUCCACUGUCCAGCAGGAGCUGCUGUGUGUGGGACAGCCCUGCCUGACCCCGCAGCCCCAGGUGCCGGCUGGCUGUGUCAGGUAACCAGCGCCGGCACCACAACACCGCCUUUGGGACACACACAGUGAGGAAUGACCCAGCAGGAAAGCGUGGCUGCAGGCGUGUCCUGGCUUGCUGUUUGUCAGAGGAAUGCUGCUCUGUAGUCCCUGCAGUGUGCUCCGUUUGCGGUGUCUGUGAGAGGGAAGUGAAGGAGAUGAGCAGGGCCCGAAGCGGAGCUCGCUGUGCUUCUGACAGAGCGGACUUCUGGUAGGCUGGUAGAUUGCAUUCAUCAUAUUUAAGUUUCUGUCACCAACUUUUAAUUAAAAGCAUGGUUGAUACCGCUUUAAUGAAUGUACGGAUGUUAGCUAUCUUCAUGCAUAAAAAUGCGUUUUAAUUCCCUUACUAUUCCCUUUAUGGCCCUUAGAUGCUUUUGUUACCAUUUAAACAGCAGACAGUAGCAGCUGUUUAUCUUCUUAAUAUAACUUUUUUUUGCAUCUGUGUUCAGGAAACAGUAGUGGUUUGAGUAAACAAUUCUCUGGUAUCCUUUAGCAAUAUUUUGUAAGUAACUUGGCAGGAGGGUCAUAAAUGAUGUCUGAAUGGUGAACUCCGAGGCCACGCUGACAGCAGCUGGACGUAACUGCUCAAACCAUGGGCUGUUACACGAGGAGAGCACGGAGUCCUCAGUGCGGGACUGUUGGUCCCAAGGAGCUGCUCCCAGAACGACAGCUUUGUGCUGAAAUAGCCCUUCUGCUGUCAGAGCUGCAUUUCAGUGCUGCUUGUUGUGCAUCUAACAGCCCGGGCGUUUAUUGUGAUUUACCAGCUGGCACGUGGGAGCUCCAUCUAACUUCUCAUCUUAGUUGACAGCAACCGGUUUGCAGAGAUCUUGUCCUGAUGAUGAUGGUGAUUGUUUAAAGAAGUACUCAAAACUUACAGCUGACAGCAGUGCUGAGGGGCUUUGAAUUUAGGUGUGUAGCCUCUAUUCAGAAUCCGGUUGGCCAAACAGAGCAUCACGUCCUGCAGGCAAGAUAAGGUAAAGAAGGGCAACCUACAAUUCGUAUCACUACCUAAAAUAAAUGGAGGGGGAAGAAAACAAAAUGCACACUGCAACCCACAAAGCACGAACUUGAGGGCAGACUGCUUUUAAGACACUUGCCCUCUGCUUGAAGGGGCACUGCUGAAUUGCAGAGGGUCAUACAGUCAUCCCACGUAGUGCUCUUCCUGCUGCUGAAGAUGUGCUCAUGAGACGUCCUCUGACUUGAUGAGAAGUGCUCUUCCAUUAAAGCCCACCUCUCUGCUCUUUGGGACUCGCUUUGCUUUGCUGGGGAAGCACCUGAUGCUGCAGCAGCAGCUCUGUGAACUCAUGGAGUGGCCGCAGAGGGGCUGUGUCUGCUGCCUGCACUGCUGUGAUGUGCUUGCCCUGCCCAGAAAAUAGCUGUGCCUCUUUACUGUAAUUGUGUUUGUGCAUUCAGACCAAUUUGGAUGGUUACAAAGGUUCAAAAAAUCCAAGGGAUGGUAAUAAGCUAAUUUGGUAACUGUUUGUGGCUUUUGUUGUUCCUCUUUGUUGUGAGGACAGAGCUGGUUCGCAAUGAGCGCUGCAUGAAAAUUACAUUAUUAGUAAUUACUGGUAAUUUCUUGUCUGGAAGCUUCAGGUUUGUGGGAGCACUUGCAUCUGUUUGCUUCCAUAUUCCCUCUGGUUUGUCUGUGAUAUCUGGGCACCGUGUUCCUCAGGGCACUUCAGCAGUUCCCCUUUCUCCAUGGCAGCUUACCUGCAUGGCACAGAGGCUGCUCCCUCUCUUUCUGCCCCGUCUGCAUCACUGUGCCCCUCAGUGCAGGGCAGCCUGAGCUCAUGGGACCCAAGAAUGGGGGCAGAGAGGCAGGAGCUGCCCGUGCCCACGUUUUCACCUCCCGGAAUAAAUUGUCAUUUUGAUUUUUAUUUCUUUCAGCUAAGAUGUGGUAAUGUAAUGGUUUCUGUCAGCUGGCAAAGCGAAGGAUUAGUCACAGAGCUUUGCUUCCUUCUAGAGAAGCUGGCAGAAAGGUAAGGAGAAAAAAGCGUGCUGUUAAACAGAAAUCCCUGGAAAAAACCAUCCUGAAAAAGCCAACUGUUGAAAAGAGAAGUGCAGUGCUGCUGUGUUUAGUUUAGUCUCAAAGCCCUAUUUUGGCUGUAAAUAAGGUUUACUUCUGAUUUCUGACUUGUGUAGGAAAAUACAGAGGGGAGGUAAUCUCACCUGGCACAGCUAAGGAAAUGGGAAUAAGUGGAACUUUGGCUUGCUUGUUUAAAGUUUUUCCUAGUAUCAAAUACUGAGCUCUUUCAUCAGAGAGCAUCUUUAGAUUAGAAGCAUCUUUGCUGUCCAUCCAGACUGGGAGUAAUAGGAGUGGACUCCAGACCAAACCUGGGGACAUGGGGUUUAAGGAUCCCAAUUUGGGAUUCCAGCAUCCCAAUUAGCCCUUCCCAUGGCCUGGCUCCCUGCCUGGAGCCCUCUGGCUGAGCAGAGCCGGUGCUCCAAAAUCUGCCUGGGAAUGAGCAGUAAUGUGCCCUGCUGGGCAACUCCUGCAGAUGUUCCAGGCUUGCGUGAAGUGAGCAGCCAGGAAAAGCAGAGCCUCCUCUUUGUUUGUUUGCUCUUGUUUUUUGGUGCAUCACGUGGUGCUGAAUAGAGUAGUAAGUUUAUCUAAAUUUCAGGCCUGUUCGUUUUUAAGGUGGAAUUGUAACGACCAGAAGUUCUUGAUAAAUGUUGGACUUCCUCCCGGUGUGAGCUGUGGAAGGGCUGGGGGCCUCGUGGCAGCACCCCUCGAGCCCUUCUGCUCAGGAAGAUGAGUAAAGCUGCAGGACACGCGGCUUAUUCCCUGAGCAGCAGCCUUGUGGUCCAGGUUGGGUUUGUAUUUAUAGCGUUUGUUUUGAGUUUUGUUUUUAUUGGCUAAAGCGAUGCUUACGCCCUUCUUGUGCUCUGCGAACGCAGCUGCUGUGCCCUUCAGUGCCUCUGUGCUCAGGGAGGGAGGAAUGCAUGCUAUUUGUGCAGGGGAAGUGCCUUGCUGGUUUCUGGGGUGCAAACCCUGGGAUAUGUAAAACUUGUAAGCACUGAAUAUCUGCGGAGCACUGCCAACCUCUUCUUGCCCAGCUAAAUCCUAGGAGGUUUGUUCUGGUUUGCGAUGUAACAGUUCCUCAGUGAUCACCCCCAGUGAACACAGCGUUUUUUAUUGUGUUUUCUUUAUGAGUUGAUUUCUCCCCUCCCAC